GGUUGGGAAAAGAAAGAUAACAAAGAAGACGAGUCUUCUCUCUGAAAGACUGAGGAGUACCAGGAACAAAAGUUUAAAGAUUCCCGCUGGUGGGAACAGAAGAUGCUCAGAUACACUGGAGACUGCAGAGUCCUUCUUUAAACACCGGCACAGAACAGAUAUGGAGAUUACUGAGGAUUGUGUCUUCUGACUAAGUUCCAGCCAGGGAUCUGGACAGAUGAGAGUCACCUUGCUGUAUCUACACCACAGACACUUCAAGGUCAUUGUAUCAAAAUAGAGCACUGAAUCUGAUCUGUUGAUUCUCUCUUGAAACAAAUGAACUACAACACAAGAGCUCAGGGAACCCAGAAGAGGAGGCAGAAUGAAUGUAAGAGCCAGAGGGGACAGGACACCAAGGAAACAAAGCCUUCUUAAAUCAACAUGAUCUACGUCAAAGCUCACAUGAACUCACAGAGGCUGAGGCAGCAUGCACAGGUCCGCACAGGU